GAUGAACGCUGGCGGUAUGCUUAACACAUGCAAGUCGAACGGUCACUUCGGUGAUAGUGGCGGACGGGUGAGUAACGCGUGAGAAUCUGUCUUCAGGUCGGGGACAACAGUUAGAAAUGACUGCUAAUACCGGAUGUGCCUUUGGGUGAAAGAUUUAUUGCCUGAAAAAGAGCUCGCGUCAGAUUAGCUAGUAGGUGGUGUAAGAGACUACCUAGGCUCCGAUCUGUAGCUGGUCUGAGAGGACGAUCAGCCACACUGGAACUGAGACACGGUCCAGACUCCUACGGGAGGCAGCAGUGGGGAAUUUUCCGCAAUGGGCGAAAGCCUGACGGAGCAAUACCGCGAGAGGGACGAAGGCUUUUGGGUCGUAAACCUCUUUUCUCAAGGAAGAUGAUGACGGUACUUGAGGAAUAAGCAUCGGCUAACUCUGU
rnacentral:rRNA from 1 species